rnacentral:rRNA from 1 species
GACGGAGGAUGCAAGCGUUAUCCGGAAUGAUUGGGCGUAAAGCGUUCGCAGGUGGCUGUUCAAGUCUGCUGUCAAAGACCGGGGCUUAACCCUAGAAAGGCAGUGGAAACUGAACGGCUGGAGUGCAGUAGGGGUAGAGGGAAUUCCCAGUGUAGCGGUGAAAUGCGUAGAGAUUGGGAAGAACACCGGUGGCGAAAGCGCUCUGCUGGACUGCAACUGACACUGAGGGACGAAAGCUAGGGGAGCAAACAGG